rnacentral:rRNA from 1 species
ACCCCCUCUCCUUUCCGCCCGGGCCCGCCCCUCCUCUCCCGCGGGGCCCCGCCGUCCCCGCGUCGUCGCCGUGGUUCCCCCCUCUCCUCUUCCCGUCCG